GGCGAACGGGUGAGUAACGCGUUGAGCAAUCUACCUUAGUUACAGGGAUAGCCCGAGGAAACUCGGAUUAAUACCUGAUAUUCUUUAUUUCUCGCAUGAGAAUAAAAGGAAAGGUCAGCCGAACUAAGAUGAGCUCGCGUUCUAUCAGCUAGUUGGUGAGGUAAAAGCUUACCAAGGCUACGACGGAUAGCUGGUCUGAGAGGACGAUCAGCCACACUGGGACUGAGACACGGCCCAGACUCCUACGGGAGGCUGCAGCAGGGAAUAUUGUGCAAUGAACGAAAGUUUGACACAGCGACACCGCGUGUGGGAUGACGGAUCUAGGUUUGUAAACCACUUUCAGGAGGGAAGAAAAUGACGGUACCUCCACAAGAAGCCCCGGCCAACUACGUGCCAGCAGCCGCGGUAAUACGUAGGGGGCGAGCGUUGUCCGGAUUUAUUGGGCGUAAAGAGCUC
rnacentral:rRNA from 1 species